rnacentral:rRNA from 1 species
CACGUAGGCGGAUGUGUCAGUCAGGGGUGAAAUCCCGGAGCUCAACUUCGGAACUGCCUCUGAUACAGCACGUCUUGAGUCCGAUAGAGGUGGGUGGAAUUCCUAGUGUAGAGGUGAAAUUCGUAGAUAUUAGGAAGAACACCGGUGGCGAAGGCGGCCCACUGGAUCGGUACUGACGCUGAGGUGCGAAAGCGUGGGGAGCAAACA